AAUCUUGCACAAUGGAGGGAACUCUGAUGCAGCGACGUCGCGUGAACGAUGAAGGCUUUCGAGUCGUAAAGUUCUGUCCUAUGGGACGAUAAUGACGGUACCAUAGGAGGAAGCCCCGGCUAACUACGUGCCAGCAGCCGCGGUAAUACGUAGGGGGCGAACUUUGUCCGGAUUUAUUGGGCGUAAAGGGUACGCAGGCGGCCAUGUAAGUCAGAUGUGAAAUCCUAGGGCUUAACCCUAGUUAGCAUUUGAAACUGUGUGGCUUGAGUUAAGGAGAGGAAAGUGGAAUUCCUAGUGUAGCGGUGAAAUGCGUAGAGAUAUGGAGGAACACCAGUGGCGAAGGCGACUCUCUGGUCUGUAACUGACGCUGAGGCGCGAAAGCGUGGGGAUCAAACA
rnacentral:rRNA from 1 species